rnacentral:rRNA from 1 species
CAGGCCUAACACAUGCAAGUCGAACGCUCGUAGCAAUACGGGAGUGGCAGACGGGUGAGUAACGCGUGGGAACAUACCCUCCGGUUCGGAAUAGCUCAGGGAAACUUGGAUUAAUACCGGAUACGGCUGAGAGGCGAAAGAUUUAUCGCCGGAGGAUUGGCCCGCGUUCGAUUAGCUUGUUGGUGAGGUAACGGCUCACCAAGGCGAUGAUCGAUAGCUGGUCUGAGAGGAUGAUCAGCCACAUUGGGACUGAGACACGGCCCAAACUCCUACGGGAGGCAGCAGUGGGGAAUAUUGGACAAUGGGCGCAAGCCUGAUCCAGCCAUGCCGCGUGAGUGAUGACGGCCUUAGGGUUGUAAAGCUCUUUCAGUGGGGAAGAUAAUGACGGUACCCACAGAAGAAGCCCCGGCUAACUUCGUGCCAGCAGCCGCGGUAAUACA